UUAUGAAUUAUUGGCCUCCUACUUGUGAAAGAAAUCUAGCACUGUCCUCACCGUUUACAGAAAAAAAAGACUGAACUGAGGAAGAGUGGAAAAAUAAUGACAAUAUUUCUUUCCUACAUAAGAAAAAGGUUUUGCCUAUAAUAAUUUCACCAAUCAAGACAUGCAGACUUCUGUCCGAUGCUAUGAAAAUUAACCGAGGCACAUUAACUGCAGGAAAUCUUCAAAGGGCUCCUCCUACAGAUGUUCUGAACGCGGCUGCACCCCGGCAAUUUUUUCCUGCGCCCAGGUCUUGAAAACUAGAGCUCGGGCACUUCUGGACCAGCCUUUUUC
rnacentral:lncRNA from 1 species